UACGUAGGGGCUAGCGUUAUCCGGAUUUACUGGGCGUAAAGGGUGCGUAGGCGGUCUUUCAAGUCAGGAGUGAAAGGCUACGGCUCAACCGUAGUAAGCUCUUGAAACUGUAAGACUUGAGUGCAGGAGAGGAGAGUGGAAUUCCUAGUGUAGCGGUGAAAUGCGUAGAUAUUAGGAGGAACACCAGUUGCGAAGGCGGCUCUCUGGCCUGUAACUGACACUGAGGCACGAAAGCGUGGGGAGCAAACAGGAUUAGAUACCCGCGUAGUCCCU
rnacentral:rRNA from 1 species